GUAGUCCACGCCGUAAACGAUGGAUACUAGCUGUCCGGCGCACGUUGGUGCGCUGGGUGGCCAAGCGAAAGUGAUAAGUAUCCCACCUGGGGAGUACGUUCGCAAGAAUGAAACUCAAAGGAAUUGACGGGGGCCCGCACAAGCGGUGGAGCAUGUGGUUUAAUUCGAUGAUACGCGAGGAACCUUACCAGGGCUUGAAUGCAGUCUGACAGGGGCGGAAACGCCCCCUUCCUCGGACAGGCUGCAAGGUGCUGCAUGGUUGUCGUCAGCUCGUGCCGUGAGGUGUCAGGUUAAGUCCUAUAACGAGCGCAACCCCUGCCGUUAGUUGCCAGCGAGUGAAGUCGGGAACU
rnacentral:rRNA from 1 species